rnacentral:lncRNA from 1 species
UUCAAUCAUGAAGUUGCUUUAAUAAUCGUUUGAAUUUUCUUGUCAAUUUUUAUUUUCAGAAUCUUGAAAUGUUGAUUAGACUGACGACUUGUUUCCUCAAAUCUGUAGGCGGCUGUGGCGGAGAGAGAUGCAGAGCCGCCGCCAAUUCCAGAUCUAUCACUCCAUGAGAGGUGUUUUCAGGCUGCCUCUACCAGAAUCUACAUAUUUCUUCAGCGUAACAAGCACGCCACCGCCACCACCGAAUCUUGAGGGCCGUGACCGCCGAUGACGUAUUCCCCAUUGCAACAGCAGAGUGGGCGACGUAUUAUCCGCAACUGUCUUCCCCCGCUUGCUUCAGCCAUACAAGAAGCUCUACAACCAUCGUUCUGGUCGACCCGUCAUCGCUGCCGCCACUCUCUCA